GCAUGAUCAUGACCAUUAAUGAAUACACAAAUAUUCUUGGCCCGUAGUGCAUGGAUAAUUGUGGUCGUGAUACUAAAGAAUAUCCUUGGCCGUAGUGCAGGGGUGAUUCGAUGAUGUGAAAUAUUUAUUAAGCUGAGUCUCAGCUAUAACAGUGAUGAAAAACCUUUUAAAUCAUAAAAGAUAGUAGAUUUUAUUUUCUACUUGACUCUUUUAAUGGAUUGCUGGUUCCGCUGCAGUUAAACUUGAUGUUUAUUAUAUUUUAUCAGUUUAACACUGUUG
rnacentral:lncRNA from 1 species